rnacentral:rRNA from 1 species
GACGAACGCUGGCGGCGUGCUUAACACAUGCAAGUCGAACGGAAAGGCCCUGCUUGCAGGGUGCUCGAGUGGCGAACGGGUGAGUAACACGUGGGUGAUCUGCCCCUUACUUUGGGAUAAGCCUGGGAAACUGGGUCUAAUACUGGAUAGGACCAUGCUGUAGGUGGUGUGGUGGAAAGAUUAGUUUCGGUAAGGGAUGAGCUCGCGGCCUAUCAGCUUGUUGGUGGGGUAAUGGCCUACCAAGGCGUCGACGGGUAGCCGGCCUGAGAGGGGGGAAGGCCCAAUUUGGACCGGGGUACCGGCCCAGCUCCCAAGGGGAGGAGGAAGUGGGGAAAAUUGCACAAUGGGGGCAAGCCUGAGGCGGGGAGGCGGGGGGGGGGUUGACGGCUUUGGGGUUGUAACCUCCUGUCGGCCAGGACGAAGCCCUGGUGGGACGGUAGUGGUAGAAGAAGCACCGGCUAACUACGUG